rnacentral:tRNA from 1 species
UUACAUUUUAGUUUAGGGAGAAUUCUUAUUUUUGGUGUAAGAGGGUGUGGAUGUAA